rnacentral:rRNA from 1 species
UUGGAGGGCAAGUCUGGUGCCAGCAGCCGCGGUAAUUCCAGCUCCAAUAGCGUAUAUUAAAGUUGUUGCAGUUAAAAAGCUCGUAGUUGAAUUUCGGGAUUAGUACGUUGGUCGUGCCUUAGGUACGUACUGGUGUUACUGGUUUCUACCUUCUGACGAACCAUCAUGUCAUUAAUUUGGUGUGGUGGGGAAUCAGGACUGUUACUUUGAAAAAAUUAGAGUGUUUAAAGCAGGCUCGCGCUUGAAUACAUUAGCAUGGAAUAAUGAAAUAGGACGUUGAUCCUAUUCUGUUGGUUUCUAGAAUUGGCGUAAUGAUUAAUAGGGAUAGUUGGGGGCAUUAGUAUUCAAUUGUCAGAGGUGAAAUUCUUGGAUUUAUUGAAGACUAACUACUGCGAAAGCAUUUGCCAAGGAUGUUUUCAUUAAUCAAGAACGAAAGUUAGGGGAUCGAAGACGAUCAGAUACCGUCGUAGUCUUAACCAUAAACUAUGCCGACUAGGGAUCGGAUGAUAUUAAUUUUUUAAUGACUCAUUCGGCACCUUACGGGAAAC